CCUAUAAACAAAUUUUAAAAACGAUUCAAAUGUCAUGGGUGCCGAGACCUUCCUUCAAGCCUUCAUAUUCACGUAGUAAACUUUGAAACGAUUCGAUACACCCAGUUCAGAGAAAAGUUUCAUAAAGGAGACCUCUGUGUCGCCACUUUCAUAUGACCUUAAUCACGCGUUAAAUAAUUCUUGAUUACGGGCAACCGACCAUUAAAAUGAUCUCUCAGGAUUGAUCGUCGCGUGGAUCUUGCAAGAAAGUCUUCCCUCGGGAUUCCUGUUGGUCUGAAAUAACGACAUCCCCGCGUGCCAGUGGCGGGAAAAAGUAUCGGGGCAAUUUAUCACCCAGAGGAGAGUAACGACGGCCUAAACUUCGGUCUGGUAUUCGCAGGUUCGAAGACGCGCAAUCGCAGCGGCAGCCUCGAAAUAGAGGAAGCCCAGAGACGCUGGACCGCCUCCCGAAGCGGGGCCGAAAAUCCAAAUUACGAAAUCGCGGGAAAUCAGCGGCAAGCACUGCCAAGAUCCCUUGGAAAUAGGAAAAUCGAUUAACCAGCCGUGACGAGUGUGCCGCUAGGUCAAUGGGCACUCUGUGACCGUAUCGGCCGGAAGAGAAGGAUUUGGCACUCGAGAUGAGUCGCUCGUUCCAGCUGGACCAUGUCUCGAAAUCAGAUGAUCGGUGAGAGUGCCCGGGUUCCCCGGAAAGUUCCAGCGGUGUUUUUUUGUUCUCUUUCCUUUUUUCCGAAAGGCCGAAAAUACCUGCCCACUCGAAGGAACCGCGGGAAACGUCGAGGGAUAAAAAUAAGGAGAGUGACUCGUCGCGAGAUCCAGGAGAUAGGAUUUAUCGAGGACAAGUUUUCCUUACGAUUCGGACAUGAAUUUCAACGAUACGGAUUCUACGAUCGCGUCGUGAUCACGACAUCGAGGAAAAGUCACGUGCCUGCGUCUAACGCUAAGAUGGGCCGUUCACGGAUUGGCACCUUAAGAAAGAUUUUCUUUUAUCGUACUGGCCCAUUGUCCGGUACUUAGCGCCGUGACAAACGAGGGACAAGUCGACAAACGAUGUCCGAUCAGUCCACUGCCAAUUUCCGGUGACGCGUAGAUUGUCACAUUUGCCAAACAAGCGCUAACCUGACGUCCAUUCGUCCGAGGCAUCGGUCAUUUAAAGCCAGGUGGAUGUGGCCAAUUUUCCGACCGAGGAUUACUCCCAUCGCGGACGACAGCGAGGACUUGCAAAAGUACCACUUAUUCCAUUACGCAAUUCUGCAAGCCCGUCCCUUCUUUAGCAUAAUCUCUCGUUCGUGUUCUAAGAAUGUCUAACUAAUUACCUAGCAUUCCAGGAGAAAGGUGAAAGCAUACAGUUCAUCUUUAGAGCAUGGCCAAUACGUUGCCUAAGAUGCAUAAUGAUCCUUACGUUCGAAAACAAUGCCUACAAAAGAAUUAGACAAAUUUCCAAUCAUGUACAAUGAUCAACGCUGUUCACAUUUAUGAACGAUCUUCAGAAUAAUUUUACGAGGUCAAAUGAAAUUCCAAAUGACGUUUCAUGACGUUCCCCGUUAGUGACUCUGCCUUCUCGUCGGCUUCAGCGUCAGAACAUUUACUGCAGCAGGUAAAACUAGACAGGUAAAAACCUCUGAACCCCGUUUUUCCUGUUGAUUCACUGGGUAGCCAUAAGUACCAUACCUCCAGAAGUUAACGUUCUAAGAUUUCGACCGGGGAUCUCGGUAUGUAUUUUUUUAUGUAAAAAAGACCGGUAUUCGCAAGACCAUGUAUGCUUCGGAUGAGUUGGUUAAU